rnacentral:rRNA from 1 species
AAUGAACGUUGGCGGCGUGGAUUAGGCAUGCAAGUCGUACGCAUAGCUUCGGCUAUGAGUGGUGCAAGGUGAGUAAUGCGAAGGUAACCAACCCUGGUGUUGGGCAUAGCCGCGGGAAACUGCGGGUAAUUCCCAGCGACGUCACGAGAUGGCAUCAUCUUGUGACCAAAGGUGUGAUUCCGCUCUAGGACGGGCCUUCGCGGUAUUAGGUAGUUGGUGAGGUAACGGCUCACCAAGCCGACAAUGCCUACCGGGUGUGAGAGCAUGACCCGGCACACUGGAACUGAGACACUGUCCAGACACCUACGGGUGGCUGCAGUCGAGAAUCUUCGGCAAUGGGCGAAAGCCUGACCGAGCGACGCCGCGUGAGGGAUUGAAGGCCUUC